CGUAAACGGUUAUACCGGUGUGCGGUGUAUGCCUGAACGUCGGUGUCUGUGUAUGCGUGUCAUCUUUGUGGCAUCACACGUCAACUACACUGAACGCAUACACCUGCAGCACCUUUGGGACUAAUGACACAAAGGUCAAGGCCAGCCUGGCGACCAUGCUUGCCAAGGAGUAGUGUAAAUAUGUAAUCUGUUUCCAUAAUUAGCAUAAGACAUGAAUUUAAGGAAUUCAUAUAUUAUAUCGAGCAAUAAAAACGGUUAAUGCAUUGCC